UGAGGACAGGGCGGGGUAAGACUGGCCUGGAGGCGGGGCUCAUGGCUGUGGUGGUGGUGGUGAUGGUGGUGAGGACAGCGGCGGUGGAGGCUUCGGCGAAACUCGGACUGUGAGGUGGAGUCAUACACUGACGGAGUGAGGACAGAGCGAUCAGGUCUUUGGGAGUGUCCCCCCCCUCCGGGUGGAGAUGGAUGGAGUCACAGGAGUCGGAGGUGGGGGUCAGUGGGCGGGGCUUGUGCGACCUUUGACCCCAGAAGCUCAUGCUGACGAGGGCCUCGGCGGCCUCCAGGUCGUGGUACUCGAUGCACGACUUCAGCUCCAUGGUCGUCACCGUCCGGCCGUCCAUGCGGUCAACCUGAGGAUGACCAGGAACAACUUUACAUAUGAGUUGGGAUUCCAAAUGUCUGAGUCCCCAGAAAAUCAGUUUAGACUUGCCAGCAAACAAACAGCAGCAGCAGGGAUGCAAAAUGUUGCCUGAGUUGGGGAUCCCAAAUUACAAGUUAC